rnacentral:rRNA from 1 species
GAUGAACGCUGGCGGCGUGCUUAACACAUGCAAGUCGAACGGAAAGGCCCAAGCUUGCUUGGGUACUCGAGUGGCGAACGGGUGAGUAACACGUGGGUGAUCUGCCCUGCACUUCGGGAUAAGCCUGGGAAACUGGGUCUAAUACCGGAUAGGACCACUUCUUGGAUGUUGUGGUGGAAAGUUUUCUCGGUGUGGGAUGAGCUCGCGGCCUAUCAGCUUGUUGGUGGGGUAUUGGCCUACCAAGGCGUCGACGGGUAGCCGGCCUGAGAGGGUGUACGGCCACAUUGGGACUGAGAGAGAGCCCAGACUCCUACGGGAGGCAGCAGUGGGGAAUAUUGCACAAUGGGCGCAAGCCUGAUGGAGCGACGCCGCGUGGGGGAUGACGGCCUUCGGGUGGUAAACUCCUUUCGCUAGGGAAGAAGCGUUUUUGUGACGGUACCUGGAGAAGAAGCACCGGCUAACUACGUG